AGUCGAAGUCUUUUUCUUCCCCAGUCGAGUAAGAUUCGUAUUUCCUUAUGGAAUCGAAUGUCCAUCCUGUAAUCGAGUUUGCUUUUUCAGCCUGUAAUAGAUAAUAUAUCUCAUGCGCUCUUCAGUCGAAGUCUUUUUCUUCCCCAGUCGAGUAAGAUUCGUAUUUCCUUAUGGAAUCGAAUGUCCAUCCUGUAAUCGAGUUUGCUUUUUCAGCCCUCCUGUCGGAUGAUGAGUGUCUUGGAAAUAUUCCCCAAUUCACGCCCUGGUUAGUCACCUAUUAUAUGCCCA
rnacentral:lncRNA from 1 species